AAUGAACGUUGGCGGCGUGGAUUAGGCAUGCAAGUCGCGCGAUAAGCGUAGCAAUACGCAGAAAGCGGCGUAAGGGAGAGUAAUGCAUGGUUAGCUACCCCCGGGACUGGGAUAGCGGCGGGAAACUGCCGGUAAUACCAGAUGACAUCUUCGGAUCAAAGGUGUGAAUCCGCCCGGGGAGGCGACCAUGUCCUAUCAGCUUGUUGGCGGGGUAACGCCCACCAAGGCUAAGACGGGUAUGGGGCGUGAGAGCGUGCCCCCACUCACUGGGACUGAGACACUGCCCAGACACCUACGGGUGGCUGCAGUCGAGAAUCUUCGGCAAUGGGCGCAAGCCUGACCGAGCGACGCCGCGUG
rnacentral:rRNA from 1 species